rnacentral:lncRNA from 1 species
AGGCGGUUGCUAGGCUCCAGCGGCUCCCGGCCAGCGGGGACGUGGAGGUGACAUUUCUCUGACCCACAGGACUGUGGGCGCCCUGCCGAGCGUCGCGCGGUCUUGGGGCGACCUGCAGUGGGGCCCCUGCGGCGCAGCGCGCGGUGGGACUGGCCGGGUUCCCGCGCCGCCCAGGGCCUGUGUCUGCGCCGGUUCCUGGCAAGGGCACCUUGGCCGGGCGGCCCGCGUCCCCUGCGCUUCCCACACCCACGUGGGCGGACCCGGCCCGCAAGCUGGGCCAGCCUGCGGUUUCCGGGCACUGGGGAGUGCGCAGAGCCCCGGGCCAGCGACCGCAGCCGGGGCCCCUGGCUUCUCCCGAGCACUUUCCCCCGGACCGGUCCCUCCAGGGUGGCGGGCGGCACCCAGGGCCGGCGCUCCUCACCAACGCGCUGCAGCUACGGGCUCAGGAGGGAGCCGCAGCGUCGGAGGAGGAAAGCAUUUAAGAAUAGCACAAAGCCUUAGGCUCGAGGAAGCGUGACUGCUUACGUGUUGAAAAUAAAGGUUCUGUAAGUCCCACCGCGGGUGCAUAUUGAAAAGAAAGGGAUCAUUAGCACGCGACCCUCGCCUAGGAGUAUAUAAACCGCAGCACGACUUUCGGAUCACAAAGGCAGAGAAAAGAACACAUUGAAGGCUUUUGCUCACUUUUCCAAGUUGUUUCGUUUCGUUUUGUUUCUAAUGUGGACGAUCAUUUAAAAUGCCUCUGGUGGCCGGGCGCGGUGACUGACGCCUGUAAUCACAGCACUUUGGGAGGCCGAGGCGGGCGGAUCACCUGAGGUCAGGAAUUCGAGACCAGCCUGGGCAAUACGGUUAAACCCCCUCUCUACUAAAAAUAAAAAAAUUAGCUGGGCGUGGUGGCAUGUGCUUGUAGUCCCAGCUACUUGGGAGGCUGAGACAGAAGAAUCGCUUGAACCCGGGAGGCGGAAGUUGCAAUGAGCCAAGAUUGCGCCAUUGCAUUCCAGCCUGGGCAACAGAGCAAGACCCUGUCUCCAAAAAAAACAAAUAAAUAUAACAAAAUUCCUCUGGUAGCCGGGUGCGGUGGCUCACGCCUGUAAUCUCAGCACUUUGGGAGGCUGAGGCAGGUGGAUCACUUGAAGUCAAGAGUUUGAGACCAGCCUGGCCAAUAUAGUGAAACCUCAUCUCUACUGAAAAUACAAAAAUUAGCCAGGCGUGGUGAUGCGCUCCUGUGAUCCCAGCUACUCGGGAGGCUGAGGCGUGAGAAUCGGUUGAACCCGGGAGGUGGAGGUUGUAGUGAUCCGAGAUUGUGCCAUUGCACUCCAGCCUGGGCAACAGAGGGAGAUCCUGUCUCUAAAAUAAAAAAUAAAAGAAAUGCCUUUGGUGAACAGGAAUUCUCAACAUUAGUGACCCGCAGUGUAUUAGUGUUAAUAAUGGACAUCCCCUUUGAUCCAGCAAGCCCAUCUAGAGAUUUCCUAGGAUAGACAAGCCAGUUUGUGCAAUUUCAUGUGUACAGCAUUGUUUUUAGUAUGGAAAGAUUAGAGUUUACAUAUCUACCCAUAGGGAGAGAGUUAAAUAAAUUAUGGUGCAUCCGUUUAGUGGAUUAGUAUACAGCCAUUAGGAAUAAAGGAAUUCUUUAUGUGCUGAUAUGAAAUAUCUUUUUUAUUUUCAAGAAAAAAACCCAGGUUCUGAAUAGUGUAUAAAGUAUGCUACUCAUUGUGCAUAGGGACAAAGAAAAUAUAUACAUUCAUGUUUGCAAAGAUACUGGAGAAAUGUUAGUAGUGGCUGCCUCUAAGGAUGACCAAGAGUGACACUGACUUUUCAUUGUAUCUUCCUUUGUUCUUUUUGAAAUUUGUACAGUCUACUUAUGCUAUCUAUUCAAAAUAAGUGGUGUUAAGAAGAAAUGCCUUUGAGAAUGAAAAUGGUAAGCCCUUGAUUGAGUGGGGUUCAUUUUCUGUUAGGAUCGUGGUCUCUAUUGGUCACAGCUGACCUUGAUCGUCACUGAAAGUGUAUCUCAUUACACAAUAUUGCAGUCUUGAACACCAGGAAGGUUGUUCUGUUCCACAUGAACAUGCUUCAUGAUGGGGUUAGGAAUGUACAACCUGUGAAAAGUGAGGGAGUCUUGAUUAUUAAUAAUAAUAUUAUUAAUAGCUACCUUUUCUUGAUCAUUAGGCACUAUUUGUACAUUAUUUCUCCUUCUCACAUCAACCCAGAAGGUAGGUAUAAGGAAACUGAGUGGCUUCUUGAAUGAAGCCAAACUGCUCUGCAAGAUUGGUGGAAAAGGAGACUCUCCAUGUGCUAACAGGUUCCUGGAUCUCAUAGCUGCUCUGUCUUAGCCCUUAAUAUGUUUCUUUUCCUCAUGGAUGGUGGUUCUGAAACCUGAGCUGUCAGAAGAAUCCUUGGCAGAUUCCUAGAUCCCAGCCUCAGACUCAGAAGGUCUGGAGUUGGGGCUGAAAGCUGCGUGGCUAAUGGGCACUGCAGGUGACUCUGAGGCUGCUGGUCAGUGUCUAGCACUUGGAGAAACUCUACUGAGGGCACCUGCCCCUAAUGCACUGUUGCCACCACUGGGCUGGGGUCAAGAGGCUUUACUUCCCACAUUUGGGCCUCAAUUGGGACCUCUGAGCUUUCCACUAGUUUCCGUUCCAUGAAGGAGUACAAAUUGGAGUAUGUAAAGACAAAAGACAUACGUAAGUGGAUAAUUUGGGUUUGAACUAAGUUCUCUGCGACUCUCAAAGCCAUACUUCCCCCAUGUUGCCACAAAAAGUAUUUGUUUCAUGUUGCCAUGUAUCUCUUACUUCAAAUAUGAAGCAGGAAUGUGAUCUAAAGCAUAAGAACAUAGCAAUAGAUAGACCCAUGUACAUGAUUUCGUAAAACUUUAGAAAGGCCAGUCCUACAUGGUUUGUCCAUAUUUGGACGGUGUGUGGAAUGCACAAAUGAAAGCAUCACUGGCUAUUCUGAACCCCAGGUUUGUGGAAGUGAGUGUAAAGGCCCAGCAGUGAGCCCCAAUCUCACCUGCCCAUCAAAGUUCAGAAACGACAAUCAGAAUAGGCCGCACUUGGCGCUUCCCUGUAGACACAGGAUCUGUGAGUUUGGACAGAUUUCUGGUCAGUUUGGAAGGAAGCUGGCCUCUGUUAACAGAGCACCCCUUAUGGGUCAGUGUUGUGCAGGCAGUCCACAUACACUGUGUGUAUGCGAUGACAGUGCGUCUGCUUGUAGAAGGGGCUGGGUCCCCUCUGCAGAGCCUCCGCAUGGGGCUGCAUGACUGGUUCCGGCCGACUUGCUGGGGAGCGCACAGCCUGUCCACAAAGGGAAUCUUCAUCCUUCCUGAUCUGUAGAGCCAUUUGCAAUGCGUGAUGGCAACUGCUUAACUUCAGUUUUCGUCCCUGGGCCAGAGAUUUCUGUGCCCUGGGAUAAUAAACGUAUUAUCUAAAGAGCUUUUAUUUCUUUCUAGAGAAUAAGGAAAAUGAUACUCUGCAGAAUUUCUAUUUCUUUUGUAAUUAUCUCAGGGGAAGGUAGUUAUUAAGUGUUCACUGAUUAGGAUUAAUGUUUCCAAUUUUUGUCAAGAACAGAAUGUAUGUAUUACUAAUUUAACCAUAAUUUCAAUCAAAACUGUGUCAUUAAAAAUGUUGGCAGUCAUGCAUUUCCUGCAUGGUUAUGAAUUUUUUCAUGUAUCUAUAGUAUUUUUCUAACAGUCUAAUUUUAAUUCAUUCACUUUCUCACGAAAAUGUAUUUUUUUUCCAUUUCAGCAUGUAGUACUUGUGUUACCUUUUCACGAGGCCCACACUCCUCCAAGGAGGCUGCUGAUUGUCUCUAAACUGAUUACCUCCAUUUGUUCUUUCCUUGAUCUUACAGUGUCCAUCAGCUUCCUAUGAUUGAAGAAAAGCUUCCACUUGUAAUAAACCAACUUCUCUCAUCCAGUUAUCAACAUAGACCAAAAAAAAAAAGAAAAAAAAAAGGCCAGGCGCAGUGGCUCAUGCCUGUAAUCCCAGCACUUUGGGAGGUCAAGGUGGGCAGAUCACUUGAAGUCAGGAGUUCAAGACCAGUCUGGCCAACAUGGUGAAACCCUGUCUCUACUAAAAAUACAGAAAUUAGCCGGGAAUUGGUGGUGCGCACCUAUAGUUCCAGCUACUCAGGAGGCUGAGGCAGGUGAAUCGCUUGAAUCCAGGAGGCGGAGGUUGCAUUGAGAGGAGAUCAUGCCACUGCACUGGGCGGCAGAGCAAAACUCUGUCUCAAGAAGAAAAAGAAAAAAGAAAAAAGCGGAGUCGUUCUGUGAGUGAAAACACUGAAUUCCACCGGUUCCUGAUCAUAUUGCCUUUAUUUCAUUCAUUCAUUCAUUCUGGAAAUGGGGAUAAAUAGCCCGUUUGUCUUUCCUGCAGGUUUGUUACGAUGGUGAAGGCAAUUUAGAAGGAACUAUUUAGUGGAGGAUAAAAGUGUUUUGUAAAUGUUAAGAUGCAUUGUUUUGUUUCUGUCCUGUUGCCCAAUUUUCUCUCAGCCCAACACCUGCCUCUAUUUGGUUCUUAGGUUACACAUUAAUUCCAUUUGCUUAGUAAUUUAAAGAAUGUACUGUAGUACACCAAUAAGCUAACAAACUCGGGCCCUUGACCCCAAGUCACCAGUGUCACCUAGAUUCAAAAACCAAUAUAACGAGUCAAGUAUGAAUGCACAAUAUUUUAGCUAAGCCCUUCCUGUCCCACCUCUAAUGAAUCCACAUGCUGCCCCAGGGCUUGGUACAUGCUGUUAAGUAAGCAGCUUUGCUCCCUCCUGCUCCCUGUUUUUGUCUUAGGUUGGUUUCAGUCCUUCCACUGUGGAUGGAGAAGUCACAAAGAAAUGGUUUUGCAGGCAAGGAAUCUUUACUCUGUUUAGCAACUCAGUAACUUGCUAGCAAAUAAAUGGCAAAGGGUCAAAGGAAGUGGAAACAUCACUAUUUUGCAAUCCCUAUUGAAAUGAGGGAUUCAAGCAGCAAUCAUCAAUAGAAGCCAAAAUCCUCCUUUGACGGGAACUGGAUAAUCCCAAGUGCUGGACUGUCGCCCACAGAUUCUCCGCUGCUGGUCAUGAGGGGAAAAGUGCUCAACAUACUAUACAGGCAGCUUACCCAACCCCUCUGUCCCCAGGAGCUGGGAGCAGGGAGAAAUAGUGAGGAGGUUUUCAUGGUCAAAUGUAUUUAGGAGACUUAUUUGAAUCAGGCAAUUACUUAAUUUCUGCAGCUCUUCUGAGAGCCUUUACUAAGCUAUGUGAAUUGUGAUACCGCAAGAGGAACUCUCACCAUGUAGCAUUUCCCAAAUUUUUAUUGAGACAGAGUCUCACUCUGUCACCCAGGAUGGAGUGCAAUAGCGUGAUCUCAGCUCACUGCAAUCUGCUUCCCAGGUUCAAGUGAUUGUCAUGCCUCAGCCUCCCAAGUAGCUGGGAUUACAGGCCUGUGCCACUAUGCUCAGCUACUUUUUGUAUUUUUAGUAGAGACAGGGUUUCACCAUGUUGGCUGGUCUGGUCUCGAACUCCUGGUCUCAAGUGAUCCACCUGUCUCGGCUUCCCAAAGUGCUGGGAUUAGAGACGUGAGCCACUGCGCCUGGUCCUCCCAAACUUCUUUGAACAUAGAGCCCGUUUGGAAGGUGGAUUUGUGGGACUAAGCCUCCCAGGGGCUCCGGUGGCUGUACGCCCUGAUGGCUGUGCACCCCGACCGCUGUGCACCACGACAGCUUCCAUGCCUUCCAAGCUGGGGGGUGCCAUGGGAGGGCUCAGAGCCUCACCCCAGGCUGGAUGAGCUCGACUGCUUUGUAGCUGCCUGUAUGUGGCAAGUAACUAACACUCCCUAGGCCUCAAUUUUUUAAUCUAUAAAAUGAAAGCAGUAAAUGUCACAUCAUAUAAGUUGUUGAGUAUUUAUGAGAAUUAAAAGGAAUAAUCGCCAUAAAAGGCCUGAUACUGCCAAUCAUAUAUUGGACAAAUAUGAAUUUCCCUUUUUCCCUUUAUUCUACUUUAUGGCAACUCCUACCUACUAUUCUCUUUCUUUUGCUACUAAGCAGACAUAUGGGUUUGUUUGUUUGUUUUAUCAGGGAGAGGUUCUAAAUGUUGUACCCUUUAACCCUCAAAGCAUUAUCUAUUCUCUUAGAGGGUAAAGGGCAGAGAUGUUAUCCCUAUUGGUUUCUAACCUUGGAGAAGGUCAGAAACGUCAUGAGCUCUCUCUAGAUCCUCUUAUCUGCUUCUCUUACACAAUCGUUUGGUUCUGUGUGUGGUGAAAACUGAAUUGGGGGAAAAUCAGAUCGGCAGAAACCAAAUGUUGAACCAACUGGUGAAUAGAGAAAUACAGAUUAAGUAUCCCUACAAUGGAAUAUUAUUCAGCAAUAGAAAGAAAUGAAGUAUGGACCCAUGCAUGGAAGGAUGCAGGGGUGUUUCCUACAGCAUAGAAGGACCUUGAAAACACAGGGCUAAGUGAGAGGAGCCGGACAGGAAGGAUCAUGUAUUGUGUGGUCUGCUCAUGUAUGAUCUGCUCACAUAUUGUAUGAUCUGCUUACAUGAAAUGCCCAAGGUAGGCAAAUCCAGAGUCAGGAAAUAGGUCGGUGGUUGCCAGGGACAGGGACUUUUGGGGGAAAAUAGAGAGUGGCUGUUAACAGGGACCUGCUUUCUUCUAGGGUGAUGAAAAUGGUCUAACAUUGAUUGUAGUGAGGGUUGUGCAGCUCUGUGAAUAUGCUAAAGAACCAUCGAAUUGGACACUUUAAAUGGGUGCAAAUUAUAUUCCAAUAAACUAUCUGUAGAAACUUAAGAGUUUAUUAUUAUUAUUAUUUUGAGACGGAGUCUUGGUCUGUCGCCCAGGCCGGAGUGCAGUGGCGUGAUCUCAGCUAACUGCAACCUCCGCCUCCUGGGUUCAAGCGAUUCUCCUGCCUCAGCCUCCUGAGUAGCUAGGACUACAGGUGCAUGCAACCAUGCCCGGCUAAUUUUUUUUUUUUUUUGUAUUUUUAGUAGAGGCGGGGUUUCACCGUGUUAGCCACGAUGGUCUCAAUCUCCUGACCUUGUGAUCCGCCUGCCUCGGCCUCAGAAAGUGCUGGGAUUACAGGCUUGCGCCACCACGCCCGGCCCAAAACUUAACAGUUUUAAAAAACCUUUAAAAAGAUACAUAGAAAGAGAGCAAACAAAACAAUCCCCCUCCCCCCACCACCAAAGUCUUUUGUCUUAAUCAGCGCACUAAUUCUUUGGGUAAGUAAAGGGAAGAGAGCUUUUAUCUGUAUGAACUAUUUCAGCUAGCCCUGGUGAUGAAGGAAAGCUCUUCUUUUCAGAGUAAUUCCAGAUAAUAAAUGUGAAAGAAUAGUAGAAUGAAAAGAACACCACUUUGCCAUCCCAAGUGAAGUUACUGCUUCAGACAAAAAUCAUUGAGGGAUGCUGAAAGCAUUCAGUCCAUGGUUAAUAGAAAUGCAGACAGGCACCAGGCAGUUGGUAUAAUGCCCGGGGUGAUUUGUUGGUCCUCAAGGGGAAAAUGCAGAUUCACAAGGAGGGAUCCACUGGACCUUAGCCUCACUAAGGGAAGGGGGCCAGCUCCAGGUGCCAGCCGGGAGGAUGUUGUGAAGCCAGCAGCCCCACUGAGGGGUAUUCCUGUGGGAAAUCUUGAGCCUGAAUCUAAUCAAAUCUUUAACUCUAUCCUUCAGUUUACAGGAAAUAAAUGAGAAAUAACAGAAACUAGUGAAAGCAAACUAUGGGAAAGUAACCUAACCUAUCCAGCCAGUGGAACAUUUGAUGGGACCACUGAGCCCCUGUCUCCACCCACCAUUGGUAGGAAGAGCAGGGGGCUCUGAAUCCUUAUUGUAAGUAGGGGAGGAAAGGUGUGAUGCUUUCCCCCCACUCAUCAUUAGGGUCAUGGCCAACACCUCGUAACAAAAGACACGUUAACAAGAGAAAAGCCUCACAAAUGCACGCAACCAAAGUUUUAUGUGACACAGGAGCUUUCAGAAAUAAAGACCCAAAGAUCUGGGGAAACUGUAUUUUUAUGCUUAGGUUUGAUGGAGAAAGGAUAGCCAGUAGAGAUGUGAUGGAACGUAAGGGUAACGGUCAUAAACUGAGUGGGGAACCCCAGCAAGGUGUGUGUGUCAGAUUUUUCAGGACCUCCUUCCUCCUGGGUAUUGGGCAGGACCCCUCUGGAAUAAGGGUCUUCAACGGAGAAGGGAGAGAGGGACCAUUCCAGGUUUUAUGGCUUGCUUUGCAGGAAAGAGAGGGCCAUGAGACAGGAGGACCUUGUUUCUGGGCCCUUCCAAUCUCCUUUAAAGUUCCCAGCAUGCAAAAGUGCAUACUUUGAAGCAUCAGGUUCUGAGCCCAAAUAUGUCCAACAGGAUUAUAAUGGGAGCCACGCUGGAACUUCACGUUUUUAGUAGACACAUUAAACAUGUUUUUAAAAGGUCAAAUUGAUUUUAAUGAUAUAUUCUAUUUAGCCCACUAUAUCCAAAAUAUUAUUGCACCAUGUCAUCAAUAUAGAAGUUAUUAUUGAAAUAUUUUCUUUUCCUCUUUUCGUGCUAAGUUUUCAAAACCUGAUGUGCAUUUUGCAAUUAUGAUUCAUCUCAAUUCAGGUGCUAAAUUUCAUUGGCAAUACUUGAUCUAUAUUUGAAUUUCAAAAAUUACAGGUUUUAAAAGUAUAUCAGAUACCCAAGUUGUUCCAGAUAUACUGAAAAGUUUUCCAAAGCUGAAUUGACUGCCAAAAAAUUAUGUUCAUUUAACAUUUAUAUUCACCUUGACAAAAUGGGUUCAUCUUUGUAAGAACUGAUUCACUUUGAAGCAAAAACAUCCCUUUCAAAGCUACAUCACUUCAAGUUACCUCAGUUCACCUACUUGUUUCAAUUGAGUUGUAAUAACAUUGAAUUAAAAAGUGACUGCAUAAAUCGAAAAACAUGUCUUAGAUUUUGGGGUGUAAUUUUUUUUUUUUUUUGAGACAGAGUUUCGCUCUUGUCGCCCAGGCUGGAGUGCAAUGUCAUGGUCUCGGCUCAGUGCAACCUCCGCCUCCCAGGUUCAAGCGAUUCUCCUGCCUCAGCCUCCCAAGUAGCUGGGAUUACAGGCAUGCACCACCAAAUCCGGCUAAUUUUGUAUUUUUAGUAGAGAUGGGGAUUCACCACAUUGGCCAGGCUGGUCUCGAACUCCUGACCUCAAGUGAUCCACCUACCUCAGCCUCCCAAAGUGCUGGGAUUACAGGCGUGAGCCACCAUGCCCGGCAGGGUGUAAUUGUAGCUAUUCUACAUAAUGCUGUUUAUUACAAUGAAAACCUACUGCCUAUAUAUUAAUGUUAGAAACAAUCUGUAAAAUCAUUAUUAUUGACUUGUAUUCCAGCAUUUUCAAUUGCCAAUAAAUCCUCCUAUCUACCUGGGUGACAUGAAGCUUUUAAAUCAGCUCUUCCAUCUGCCAUGUGACAUUGGUGAGAAAAUGAAUCACUGCUGUGUGUUUUGAUUCUUGAGUAUUUGGGAACCUUUCCCUUUAUUUUAGGAAAUUCUUGAGCUAGAGUUAACUCCUGGCUCAGGAGUGAAGCUGCAGACUUUCACGGUGAGUGUCACAGCUCUUAAGGUGGCGUGUCUGGAGUUGUUCGCUCUUCCUGGUGGGUUCAUGGUCUCGCUGGCUUCAGGAGUGAAGCUGCAAACCUUCGCGGUGAGUGUUACAGCUCAUAAAGGCAGUGUGGACUUAAAGAGUGAGCAGUAGCAAGGUUUAUUGGAAAGAGCAAAAGAACAAAGCUUCUACAGUGUGGAAGGGGACCUGAGCGGGUUGCCACUGCUGGCUCGGGCAGCCUGCUUUUAUUCUCUUAUCUGGCCUUACCCACAUCCUGCUGAUUGGUCCAUUUUACAGAGAGCGGAGUGGUCUGUUUUGACAGGGUGCUGAUUGGUGCGUUUACAAUCCUUGAGCUAGACACAAAGGUUCUCCACCUCCCCACUGGAUUAGCUAGAUACAGAGUGUCCGACACAAAGGUUCUCCAAGUCCUUACUAGAGUAGCUAGAUACAGUGUGGAUUGGUGCAUUCACAAACCUUGAGCUAGACACAGGGUGCUGAUUGGUGUGUUUACAAACCUUGAGCCAGAUACAGAGUGCCAAUUGGUGUAUUUACAAUCCUUUAGCUAGACAUAAAGCUUCUCCAAGUCCUCACUAGUCAGGAGCCCAGCUGGCUUCACUUAGUGGAUCCUGCACCGGGGCCGCAGGUGGAGCUGCCUGCCAGUCCCGCGCCGUGCGCCUGCACUUAUCAGCCCUUGGGUGGUCGACGGGACUGGGCGCCGUGGAGCAGGGGGCGGCGCUCAUCAGGGAGGCUCGGGCCACACGGGAGCCUACGGGGGCGGGGGGAGGCUCAGGCAUGGCGGGCUGCAGGUCCUGAGCUCUGCCCCGCGGGGAGGCAGCUAAGGCCCGGCGAGAAAUCGAGCGCAGCGCCGGUGGGCCGGCACUGCUGGGGGACUUAGCACACCUUCCGCAGCCGCUGGCCCGGGUGCUAAGCCUCAUUGCCUGGGGCCGGCAGGGCGGGCCGCUCCGAGUGCAGGGCCCGCCGAGCCUACACCUACCUGGAACCUGCGCUGGCCUGCAAGCACUGCGCGCAGCCCGGGUUCCCGCCCGCGCCUCGCCCUCCACACCUCCUCGCAAGCUGAGGGAGCCGGCUCCGGCCUCGGCCAGCCCAGGAAGGGGCUCCUGCGGUGCAGCGGCGGGCUGAAGGGCUCCUCAAGUGCCGCCAAAGUGGGAGCCUAGGCAGAGGAGGCGCCGAGAGCGAGCGAAGGCUGUGAGGACUGCCAGCACGCUGUCACCUCUCAGUGGCAUUCACUCGCAUGUACUGAACUAUUUAAAAAACUGUCCAUGGGGAAGAGAUGGGGCAAGACGGCCGAAUAGAAGCCUCCACUGAUUGUCUUCCUCACAGAAACACCAAAUUUGACAACUGUCUACUCAAAAAACACCUCUAUAUGAACCGAAAAUCAGGUGAGUAUUCACAAUACCUGGUUUUAAGUUUAUAUUGGUAAAAAAGUAGGAAAGACAGCUUUGAAUUGUCUACACCGCUCUUCCCCUAUCCCCUGGCAGCUGCCCUGUGGUUCAGAGAGAAUCUGUGUGCUUGGGAAAGUACAGUAUCUGUGGGACUUUGCUUUGGAACACCGCACUGCCAACACCAGGUAGAAUUCAGCUGAUACCCAGGGAGGGAGCACCUAGACCAGCCCUAGCAGAGGGCUAUCGCCCAUCCCAGUGGUUGGAACUUGAGUGGAAAACUUUGCAUUCUCAGGGUGUUGUCCAGGCCUCUCUGGACCCAUUUCUAAAUGUGAUAUGAGAGAGGGAGUGAGUAGCCUGCUGAAGUGUGGCAUAGUUGAGGUGAAUGCGCUAUAUAACACAAUUACAUAGAUUAGCCAGAAACAUUAAACUGCAGAAUAAGAUCUGUCUAUUCUUCAGAAACCUUUCACCCACAGAAUGGUUUAAAGUUUGACUGUGUUGAAUUUGUUUGCUUGACCUCAAAGAGACUUCCACGUGGACAGCUGUGAUGAGACUGGACGUAGUCCUAGCAAGUCUGAAAGCUAGUAUUUGUGUGCCUCUAUGCCUUGGCCUGACUCCACUCUUACAGGGAGCAGGUGCAGCUUAGCAGCCUCCCCUGUCGAUCAGGCAAAGUUUGGUGUCCUUGGAUCAUUCAGCAGAAGGGGACAUUGCCUGCAAUAGUAACGAGAUACUGUCAACAAGUCCCCAGAAGGAGAGAGGGAACUGGGGCUGGCUGGGCACUGGCUCUGUUCCAUUCGUUUCACAGCUCCCUAGCCCUGACAUCUCUCAGGAGGAGGAAGAAGUUUGCCUUCACUGCAUGUCACGUUUCAAGUCAUCAAGCUCCUAAGAUGCUGAUUUGUCCCCACACAGUUCAUAAUGGCUGGAGCCACAAUUUUUUUUUUUUCUAGACGGAGUCUCGCACUGUCACCCGGGCUGGAAUGCAAUGGUGUGAUCUUGGCUCACUGCAACCUCCGCCUCCCGGUUCAAGCGAUUCUCCUGCCUCAGCCUCCUGAGUAGCUGAGAUUACAGGUGCCCGCCACCAUGCCUGGCUAAUUUUUUUUUUUGUCUUUUUAGUAGACACGGGGUUUCACUAUGUUGGCCAGGCUGGUCUCGAACUCCAGACCUCGUGAUCUGCCCACCUCAGCCUCCCAAAGUGCUGGGAUUACAGGCAUGAGCCCCCACGCCCAGCUGGAUCCACAGUUUUAACCUGUGACUGCCGAAGUGUAUACAUUUUUCUACUUUCAUGCCCUGCCAGUCCUGUGUGUGGAAAUUCAAGUUUUCCAGUGGUUUUUUGAGGUGGGAGAGGUGGGAGCAAGAGGAGGAGGAAGUUUUUCCUAAGAAGUCCAGCUCAGCUCAGACCUUUCAUGUGGCUCACACGCGUGUCUGUGUUUUCUCACUCAUGGCCAAUCGCGCCGCCUUUCAUCCAGCCCACAGCCCUGCCAAGGGCCUGCCCGUUGCCUGAGUGUAUCUGGAGUUCAAGAAAACACAAACAGAUAAGCCAUCUGCAGUGCUCACAUUCCAACUGGAGAAAUAGGCUAAAAGAGAGGGAGAGAGAAUUACUGCAUCCAAAAUUAUGCUAAUGACAGAAGGGCCAGUGGCAGAGAGCUGGGAGGGAGCCGACCUUUGAUGGUGGGUGAGGUCGCUCUUGUGGACAGGAUAAUCAGGGCACCUCUCUGAGGAGGUGACAUCUAAAUCAGGAGCAGAGGCAGAGGCAUGGGAAAGGUGCUCCAGGCAGAGGAGGCAGCAGAACAAAGGGCCCCGCAUGUCCUAGUAGCCUCAGGGAGGGAGGCUAGUAUGAGGGUUCGGCUAAAACUUGAGCUUGGAGCAACUCUGUCACCUGCAAGGACAAGGAAGCUUGAAGCGUCUGCAUGGUGGAGGCACCAGCAUCCACGACCAGCUCCAAUAUGGGAACCACAUGGUCAGCCUCUGAGAUUUUGGAAAAUCAUGCCCUUUAGGCAAACAGCUGUUUUCUUUUUGAGAAAUGUAUUUCUCCUGGGCCCUGGAAGACUAAAUGCCUGGUCCGGGGACCCCAGUGUCCUGCCUGCCCUUCACAAAAUGCUGCUCUCGGACUCGCCCAGCCAACGAGCUGAUGUACCCAGCAGGGGUCCCUCAGGAGGCAGAAGUGGAUAGGUGAUAUCCAGCAGGGGUCCCUCAGGAGGCGGAAGUGGAUAGGUGAUAUCCAGCAGGGGUCCCUCAGGAGGCAGAAGUGGAUAGGUGAUAUCCAGCAGGGGUCCCUCAGGAGGCAGAAGUGGAUAGGUGAUAUCCAGCAGGG